UUUUUCUUCUUUUGUUUCUGGUUUGACUGUCGUCUUGUUUCUUACGUUCCUCGAUUUAUUUUUUUUUUUUUUUUUUUUACCGUUUUUUUUUUUUUUUUUUUUAUAUGUAGUUUCACACAAAUCUAUACCUCUGGAAAAUAAGUGAUUUAUCAACUAGUUAAAUAUUAAAAUACAAAAUAUCUGAUUUGUGUUGCUUUGACAGUUUCACAAGCGCAUAAGGAUUAUACGUAAAUAGCUUAGUUAUUUGGAGAGUAAAAUAUUAGUAUUAUUGAGUGAUUGGAUACUAAGAUUCCAAUCGGUGUAUUAACACAUUGAGAAAGCGGAGAACAAGUAACAAAUAACAAAUAGCAUGUGACUCAAUGGUCGUGGCCUUUGAAAGUUUACAUUUCUGAAAGCAUGAUCUUCGCAUGAUUUAGAUUAUACGUAUACUACUGUAUGUACACGAUGGAUAUAUACAUAUUGCAUUACAUAUAGUAUUUCUUCAAACAAUGAAUUUCACAAAAAAGAUCUCGUUACUGGAAUUAUUGGAUACAUUAAUUGAAUGAACAUACAAAAAUCAGAUAUUAUACAAAGAUGUCUUUACGAAUAGUCAGGAUUAACCACCUUUUUUCCUUUUGAAAGAUCAAUUUUACAAAAACUACUAUUGAUGUCUUGCAAAAAACGGGAGAGAAAUCUGAAACGUGCAACUAUUGAGUCUUAAAAUUCAUUGACACUGGUUGGCAUGUGGCAAAUGCAACAAUUCCUUUUAUCUUCUAUUGACGCUGUAAUUCUUUUCAGGACUGUCGAUGGUAAGGAUAAGAAGAAUAAGAAGAAAGGGCUCUUUUAAGUCGACUCUUCAGAAAGACAACCGUGGAGUGAGCUUUUUCCUAAAAAUAUUCGCUUAACGUGCUGCUUUCUAUAACGAACAUCGGACACGAGAGAACUAAAAGAGGAAAGGACAAAAUUAUUUCAAAGGUCCUCACGCCAACACCUCAACUCGCAUCAUUUCUGCGCCAACGGAUCGUUGAAUGUGAUUCUAAAAAAAAAAAAAAAACGAAGCAGUGGCCAUAUACAUAUACAUAUAUAAAUAUUAUAUUUAUGUAUAAAUUAAAUCGAGGGAACCGUAAAGCGUAUUAGCGUAAGCGAUACGAAGUCCAGUUCGUGUAAAUUUAAGUUGUACCGAUAACGAGUUUAAGGUUAAAUUGUAUAAAAUGAAUCUAACAGUAAGUGUAUCGUUGGAUCGUUGCGAUUCGAGACAGCGCGUUCAGCUUGUUUUUUUUUUUUUUUUUUUUUUUUUGGUUGUUGGUAAAACCAAA